rnacentral:sRNA from 1 species
AGCUCCCUUGGACCCACGCCGUUGUCCCCCCCACCAUCCUUCCAUGGGGGCGCAGGAAGGAGUGGGACGGAGCAUAAGUGCCUUUUUCAUUAGAACAGACACAAAGCCCAAUUAAUAAAGACCCAGAGAAGAGGAAGGGAAGAACAAGACCCAGGGGUUAGAAGAGAGAAGAACAAGAGCGGAUUCUCAGCCAUGGGACCGCAGCUUGUGAAAGGGGAGCUUUGUUUAUUUAUUGUCUAAUCUCCUUGCUGCCCUGAGCUCGUGCAGCACGUUCCUUAUCGGAAUCUUGGGAGCUUGGGAAUUUCCACAACAGACUAUGUCGAAUAGCUUAUAUUGCUAGCAUAAUAGAGUACAUUUUGACCAGAAAGCUUUUAUCCCUUUUUAUGUGGUAGUGAUUGUUCGGUGCUUCUCUAUAGAAAAGUUAAACCAUCCUCAAUACGGUGAAUAUUAUCUUUCCAUUCUUUCACCCAAGGCAUAAGAAAUUACUAUAAUUUACCAUGGCAUAAAGGCACAAACUCAGUUCCAAUGUCCAGCUUUGAACUAGAUGGUGAACCACAC